rnacentral:rRNA from 1 species
UACGUAGGCAGCGAGCGUUGUUCGGAAUUACUGGGCGUAAAGAGUGUGUAGGCGGUGCUCUAAGUUCGGUGUGAAAUCGUCCUGCUUAACUGGGAGGGUGCGCCGGAAACUGGAGUGCUCGAGCGUGGGAGAGGAAAGCGGAAUUCCUGGUGUAGCGGUGGAAAUGCGCAGAUAUCAGGAAGAAACACCGGUGGCGAAGGCGGCGCUCUGGGCCUUACCUGACGCUGAGGAGCGAAAGCGUGGGUAGCCGAACAGG